UACGUAGGGGGCAAGCGUUGUCCGGAAUUAUUGGGCGUAAAGAGCGCGUAGGCGGUCCGAUAAGUCGGCUGUGAAAGUCCAGGGCUCAACCCUGGAAAGCCGGCCGAUACUGUCGGACUAGAGUCCGGAAGAGGCAAGUGGAAUUCCCGGUGUAGCGGUGAAAUGCGCAGAUAUCAGGAGGAACACCGAUGGCGAAGGCAGGUCUCUGGGCAUUAACUGACGCUGAGGAGCGAAAGCAUGGGGAGCGAACAGG
rnacentral:rRNA from 1 species